rnacentral:rRNA from 1 species
CACGGAGGGUGCAAACGUUGCUCGGAAUCAUUGGGCGUAAAGCGCACGUAGGCGGACCGCUAAGUCGGAUGUGAAAGCCCUCGGCUUAACCGAGGAAGUGCAUUCGAAACUGACGGUCUUGAGUAUGGAAGAGGGUCGCGGAAUUCCCGGUGUAGAGGUGAAAUUCGUAGAUAUCGGGAGGAACACCAGUGGCGAAGGCGGCGACCUGGGCCAAUACUGACGCUGAGGUGCGAAAGCGUGGGGAGCAAACAGG